ACUGCUGCAGAAUGGCAAAGACAGAGGUUAAGCCAAAUAUGAAGCAAGCAGUGCCAUGUGUGGCGUCACCAUGCAAAACGCAUCAUCGCCACAAAAACAAUGACCUCUGAACCCAGACUCAGCCAAUCAGCGAGAGGUCUGGGAUUUGAGUUCCUGUGGAUUGCUUGAGAAGGAAACCGUUUUGUUGUUUUCAAUGUUUCUUUGUUUUGAGAUAGAGAUGCAGGUUUAAGGGGUCUGUGUUGCAGACCUGCUAAUUUGACUAGCUAUGCUCGUUUGAUUUUGUAGCUGAUUUUGUUCAAGUUUGAAAGCUUUUGAUGCACCCAAAGACGUGUCAGAUCUGUCGAGAACGAGACUGAGGUGGGAACGAAAUGGAACGGAACGCAAUAGAAAGUGAUGCAUGAUUGAAGGACGAGCGUGAUGUUGACUGGCUGGCUGAGGUAUGUGGGCGUGGCUUGCUUGAUGUGGGUGUGGCCAUGUUGAUUUCGGGGACGCAGUUGCUGCGAAUGCAGUAUAAAUGACCUUAAAAAGGAACUAAAUUAAAGAAAAGGGUCAAGUUCAGUACUGUAAUUUAUUUUCAGUUCAUUUUUUUAUUUAUUUUCAGUAGCGGACAGCAUUUUUAGCAGCUUUUCGGUGUACAUUUGCGGAAAUAUUUUGGUCAUUUCAAAUAUUCGAUUUCAGAUUUUCAAGUCUGAUACAGCAUUUAUGUAUAUUUAAGAUCAAAUUAAUUUAGUUUUAUAGAUUUUCGAACUGGUACUAUAAUAAAGAGGCGGAUUAUGUACUGUGCUUCUAUUACUGGAGAGUUUUACCCAUUGUUAAUUUUGUUGAUUUUUUUUCUAGAAGCACUGUUUGUAGUCAAUAUUUCCUGUGAACGGACAUUUCUUACCUACAAAACAUUGCACACACACGUCUGAUCUGCUGUGUGUUUUUUUUGAGGUGUGUGUGUAUUUGUGUGCCUCUGUAAUCGUGUGUUUGUGCAAAGCUGGAAUGUGAAUCAAAUCGAUGCCUUCAUUUCAUUGUAAUCUUAAAUAUCUGCCAAAAAUGACUUGUUGAUUUCGUUUUUUUGAAGUUUUUCAUCUUGUUAUUUACUCCUAUAAAAAUUUGCUGUGUUUUUUGUUUGUGCCAAAUUCAUUCAUGGACACAUUUGUUUCUGGACCUCUGCGUCAUGUGAUUCUACCUGUGGUACACGAGGUUUAAUGACAUCACUUCCUGUGCCCUUCGGGUCAAGAGCUCUUCUGUGAAAGCUGGCUGGUUUGGUGGAGGCGAUCAUUACGGUGCCGGUUGCUGCAGUGUUUCGCUCUGUCCACCAAACAAAUUUUUCAUAUUUUUUAAGAAGCAAAUUUUGCAGAAAUGAGGCCGUGAUUUACACGCAUGUGAUUUCAAGUGAUGAUUUGUUGUGUUCAGAAUAAAUGAUAUUAUGAAAACAAACAAAAAAA